rnacentral:misc_RNA from 1 species
UAUGAAGAACGCAGCGAAAUGCGAUAAGUAAUGUGAAUUGCAGAAUUCAGUGAAUCAUCGAAUCUUUGAACGCACAUUGCGCCCGCCAGUAUUCUGGCGAGCAUGCCUGUUCGAGCGUCAUUUCAACCAUCAAGCCCCAGGCUUGUGUUGGAGCCCUGCGGCUGCCGCAGCCUCCCAAAACCAGUGGCGGGCUCGCUAUCACACCGAGUGCAGUAGUUUACUCUUCGCUCAGGGCGUGUGGCGGGUGCUAGCCGUGAAACCCCCAACUUCUCAAGGUUGACCUCGGAUCAGGUAGGAAUACCCGCUGAACUUAAGCAUAUCAAUAAGCGGAGGA